rnacentral:rRNA from 1 species
UGAGUAACCUGCCCUUAACUCUGGGAUAAGCCUGGGAAACUGGGUCUAAUACCGGAUAUGACUCCUCAUCGCAUGGGUGGGGGGUGGAAAGCUUUAUUGUGGUUUUGGAUGGACUCGCGGCCUAUCAGCUAGUUGGUGAGGUAACGGCUCACCAAGGCGACGACGGGUAGCUGGUCUGAGAGGAUGGCCAGCCACAUUGGGACUGAGAUACGGCCCAGACUCCGUACGGGAGNAG